rnacentral:rRNA from 1 species
ACGAACGCUGGCGGCGUGCUUAACACAUGCAAGUCGAACGGAAAGGCCCUGCUUUUGUGGGGUGCUCGAGUGGCGAACGGGUGAGUAACACGUGAGUAACCUGCCCUUGACUUUGGGAUAACUUCAGGGAACUGGGGCUAAUACCGGAUAGGAGCUCCUGCUGCAUGGUGGGGGUUGGAAAGUUUCGGCGGUUGGGGAUGGACUCGCGGCUUAUCAGCUUGUUGGUGGGGUAGUGGCUUACCAAGGCUUUGACGGGUAGCCGGCCUGAGGGGGUGACCGGCCACAUUGGGACUGAGAUACGGCCCAGACUCCUACGGGAGGCAGCAGUGGGGAAUAUUGCACAAUGGGCGGAAGCCUGAUGCAGCAACGCCGCGUGCGGGAUGACGGCCUUCGGGUUGUAAACCGCUUUCGCCUGUGACGAAGCGUGAGUGACGGUAAUGGGUAAAGAAGCACCGGCUAACUACGUG